AUCAGAUUUCGUGCCAUUGAAAAAAACUCUGAAAAUACAAAUCAUUAUGGAUAAAGCCUUGUAUGAUUAUAUGGGCUCUGAAGUGGCAGUUGCAGUGGAGAAGGUUGUCCAUAUCAUUGGUCUCAUCAACACUAUGUUUUCCCAGCUAAAAGUGACUUUUAUGUUAACAUCUUGGAGCUCUGGUCUGAUGAAAAUAAGAUUUUAUCUGAUGGGGAUGCUAAUGAAGUACUGCAAAGAUUUGUGUCAUGGAAAGAAAAAUUUUUGUUCAAGGUCCGUGAUAUGGCAUUUUAUU